UGGCGGACGGGUGAGUAACGCGUGGAAAACCUGCCGUAUACUGGGGGAUAACACUUAGAAAUAGGUGCUAAUACCGCAUAAGCGCACAGCUUCGCAUGAAGUGGUGUGAAAAACUCCGGUGGUAUACGAUGGUUCCGCGUCUGAUUAGCUUGUUGGUGGGGGUAAUGGCUCACCAAGGCGACGAUCAGUAGCCGGCCUGAGAGGGUGAACGGCCACAUUGGGACUGAGACACGGCCCAAACUCCUACGGGAGGCAGCAG
rnacentral:rRNA from 1 species